UGGCGUCCCCUCUUCACCCCAUCCUAGCCGCGCUUCAGCCAUGGUAAGACCACCCAAAAACUUCACUCAUUGGUCCCUAUGGUCCCCCCAUCCUCUCUCUCUUCUCCACUUCAUCCAAACCACGUGAAGAAUAUUCUCGAACUAAUUUCUUUCUUCUCACUCGUUUUUGCACGCGCGACUGAGAGUCUCUUCGAGUAUGUGUUGGACGAAUGGGAAGCGUGGGAUUGAUCAAUCGAUCCAAGCCUUCCAUUCAACCACGUGCUUACUUGGUUGAGAGAUUUUUCAGUUCUUUGAAGAGAAAGGCUGGAGGUUUCCAGGUUCAAUAUAUAAGGGGUUCGUUUUCAGAUUUUGACAGAAAAAAAAUCGAAAGAAAAGGGAGAGAAAAUUGGAGAGGCGUCAAGCUAGGUUUUUAGUUCUGAUUUGGCAAUCUUCGUUUUCUAAUUUCAGUUUAUAUAAAGAACGUUAGAGUUUUUUUAGUUUGUUCUUUUGAUUUCCAAAACAGAAAAAAGCGAAUACUGGAUUCUUGACUUGGUCUUCAACUAUGAAGUUUGAUUGAGGUUUGCCGUGGAGUCGAGGUCGUUCGAGCUGUUCAUUGUUUGCAAAUCGAGGUUCAUUUGCGGUUCAGUUAGCGCCGAGCCAAUUCAGUCCAGUUUAUGUUCGAGUUCUAGUUGCUGUUUCGUUUGAUUUUGUUGCCGCACUUGCUUGUAUUCAACUUCCAGAAUUAAUCAAACUUUUCGCAUAUCAGGAGUGAUUUCGAGCUAUGUAGAUAUCAUGGAAUGAAUUCAAGUGAUUUGGAGCUUUGAAGUCUGAGUAAAAGCCCAAGGAAUCAAGCCGGGAUCGUGUUCGAGGAUCAACAGAAGAUAGUUAAGAACGAAAUAAAGAAUCUAGCGGGCAUACAGUGCAUUGUCUAGUAAAAUACAUAUAACUUUUCGCUCAGUACUCCGUUUGGGCUCUACAAUAUAUUGUUGGAAAGCUAUUCGAAAGGGCUACAAUUUCAUGUUUUGCAUUUUUGUAAAUUCUCAAUACCGCGCCGCAGAGUGCGCCGUAUCUGUGCAAAUUUCCAACAGUCUGCCAGGAAACAGCUCACUGAACUUGCCCACUGCCGCGCCGCACAGUGCGUCGAAGCCUGCGGCACGCCUGUACAAAUUUUACAGAGUGAUUGUCUUAUUUCUUGCGAGAGAAGGUAUUUUCGUUUGGGCCCAACCCUACUUGGUAUGUAUACAUGGAAAAACAUUAUUUUGGUGA